rnacentral:tRNA from 1 species
UCCCUGGUAUCUCAGGUGGUAAAGAAUCUGCCUGCAAUGUAGGAGACCCAGGUUCAAUCCCUGGGUUGGGAA